rnacentral:rRNA from 1 species
GACGAACGCUGGCGGCGUGCUUAACACAUGCAAGUCGAACGGAAAGGCCCUGCUUUUGUGGGGUGCUCGAGUGGCGAACGGGUGAGUAACACGUGAGUAACCUGCCCUUGACUUUGGGAUAACUUCAGGAAACUGGGGCUAAUACCGGAUAGGAGCUCCUGCUGCAUGGUGGGGGUUGGAAAGUUUCGGCGGUUGGGGAUGGACUCGCGGCUUAUCAGCUUGUUGGUGGGGUAGUGGCUUACCAAGGCUUUGACGGGUAGCCGGCCUGAGAGGGUGACCGGCCACAUUGGGACUGAGAUACGGCCCAGACUCCUACGGGAGGCAGCAGUGGGGAAUAUUGCACAAUGGGCGGAAGCCGGAUGCAGCAACGCCGCGUGCGGAAUGACGGCCUUCGGGUUGUAAACCGCUUUCGCCUGUGACGAAGCGUGAGUGACGGUAAUGGGUAAAGAAGCACCGGCUAACUACGUG